rnacentral:rRNA from 1 species
UACGGAGGGUGCAAGCGUUAUCCGGAUUCACUGGGUUUAAAGGGUGCGUAGGCGGGCAGGUAAGUCCGUGGUGAAAUCUCUGAGCUUAACUCAGAAACUGCCAUGGAUACUAUUUGUCUUGGAAUAUUGUGGAGGCAAGCGGAAUAUGUCAUGUAGCGGUGAAAUGCUUAGAUAUGACAUAGAACACCCAUGCGAAGGCAGCUUGCUACACAAUGAUUGACGCUGAGGCACGAAAGCGUGGGGAUCAAACAGG